UACGGAGGGUGCAAACGUUGCUCGGAAUUAUUGGGCGUAAAGCGCACGUAGGCGGUUCGUUAUGUCGGAUGUGAAAGCCCUGGGCUUAACCCAGGAAGUGCAUCCGAAACUGGCGAGCUUGAGUACGGAAGAGGGUCUCGGAAUUCCCGGUGUAGAGGUGAAAUUCGUAGAUAUCGGGAGGAACACCAGUGGCGAAGGCGGAGACCUGGGCCGAUACUGACGCUGAGGUGCGAAAGCGUGGGGAGCAAACAGG
rnacentral:rRNA from 1 species